UACGUAGGGGGCAAGCGUUGUCCGGAAUCAUUGGGCGUAAAGGGCGCGUAGGCGGCCCUGUAUGUCCGCUGUGAAAGUCAAGGGCUCAACCCUUGGAUGCCGGUGGAUACUGCAGGGCUAGAGUCCGGAAGAGGAGAGUGGAAUUCCCGGUGUAGCGGUGAAAUGCGCAGAUAUCGGGAAGAACACCCGUGGCGAAGGCGGCUCUCUAGUACGGUACUGACGCUGAGGCGCGAAAGCGUGGGGAGCGAACAGG
rnacentral:rRNA from 1 species